GACGCUGGCGGCGUGCUUAACACAUGCAAGUCGAACGAUGAAGCCUAGCUUGCUAGGUGGAUUAGUGGCGCACGGGUGAGUAAUAUAUAGAUAACGUGCCUCUUAGUCUGGGAUAGCCAUYGGAAACGAUGAUUAAUACUGGAUACUCCUACUAACUCUAAUGUUAGUUGGGAAAGUUUUUCGCUAAGAGAUCGGUCUAUAUCCCAUCAGUUAGUUGGUAGUGUAAGAGACUACCAAGGCAAUGACGGGUAGCGGGUUUGAGAGGAUGAUCCGCCACACUGGUACUGAGACACGGACCAGACUCCUACGGGAGGCAGCAGUGAGGAAUAUUGCACAAUGGAGGAAACUCUGAUGCAGCAACGCCGCGUGGAGGAUGACGCAUUUCGGUGUGUAAACUCCUUUUAUAGGUCAAGAAAAUGACGGUAGCCUAUGAAUAAGCACCGGCUAACUCCGUGCCAGCAGCCGCGGUAAUACGGAGGGUGCAAGCGUUAUUCGGAAUCACUGGGCGUAAAGGACACGUAGGCGGGAAGCCAAGUCUGAUGUGAAAUCCUACAGCUUAACUGUAGAACUGCAUUGGAAACUGGUUACCUAGAGUAUGGGAGGGGGAGAUGGAAUUAGUGGGUGUUAAGGGGUAAAAUCCGUAGAUAUCACUAGGAAUACCUAAAGCGAARGCGAUCUCCUGGAACAAUACUGACGCUAAKGUGUGAAAGCGUGGGGAGCAAACGGGAUUAGAUACCCCGGUAGUCCACGCCCUAAACGAUGUUCACUAGUCGUCGGGAUGCUAGUCAUCUCGGUGAUGCACUUAACAGAUUAAGUGAACCGCCUGGGGAGUACGGUCGCAAGA
rnacentral:rRNA from 1 species